GGCCAGACUCCUACGGGAGGCAGCAGUGGGGGAUAUUGCACAAUGGGGGGAACCCUGAUGCAGCGACGCCGCGUGGGCGAAGAAGCGCCUCGGCGCGUAAAGCCCUGUCAGCAGGGAAGAAAAUGACGGUACCUGAAGAAGAAGCCCCGGCUAACUACGUGCCAGCAGCCGCGGUAAUACGUAGGGGGCAAGCGUUAUCCGGAUUUACUGGGUGUAAAGGGGGCGCAGACGGCGAUGCAAGCCAGGAGUGAAAGCCCGGGGCCCAACCCCGGGACUGCUCUUGGAACUGCGUGGCUGGAGUGCAGGAGGGGCAGGCGGAAUUCCUGGUGUAGCGGUGAAAUGCGUAGAUAUCAGGAGGAACACCGGUGGCGAAGGCGGCCUGCUGGACUGCAACUGACGUUGAGGCCCGAAAGCGUGGGGAGCAAACAGGAUUAGAUACCCCGGUAU
rnacentral:rRNA from 1 species